rnacentral:tRNA from 1 species
CAUGGCCAAGCGGUAAGGCGGUAGACUCUGAAUCUAUUAUGCGCAGGUUCGAAUCCUGCUG